CCUUGCUCUUGCAGUUAGCCAAAUUAAUUACAUGAAAAGUAAAGCAAGUAAUUCUAUUUUAACGUAGAAGAAUACCUCUCAAGCUAUACAGAUUUGGUGCCUCUGUGAAUGAUGGAGCAAGUGAAUAACUUCAUUGAAAUGUAUAAUUGUUAGACUUGAUCACAGUUAUUGAAAAGUAAUUCACGCGGAAUUUGAGUUGAUUAUCAUUACGACUUUAUGAUUGGAUCAUUUCCAGUGGAACAGAACGAUGCUGUUUAUUUUUUUUUGCAUUAUUGUAUUUUUAAUAUUAAAAAUUAUUUUGCAAUUAAACAAUCUCUUGAACAGGCUA
rnacentral:lncRNA from 1 species